rnacentral:rRNA from 1 species
GCAAUACCGCAAGGUGGAGCGAAUCCCAAAAAGCCGGUCUCAGUUCGGAUUGAGGUCUGCAACUCGACCUCAUGAAGUCGGAGUCGCUAGUAAUCGUAGAUCAGCAACGCUACGGUGAAUACGUUCCCGGGCCUUGUACACACCGCCCGUCAAGUCACGAAAGUCGAUAACACCCGAAGCCGGUGGCCUAACCGCAAGGAGGGAGCCGUCGAAGGUGGGAUUGGUGAUUGGGACUAAGUCGUAACAAGGUAGCCGUACCGGAAGGUGCGGCUGGAUCACCUCCUUUCUAAGGAG